GGGCCUCUAGCUCAACUGGCAGAGCAGCGGACUUUUAAUCCGCGGGUUGUGGGUUCGAGUCCCACGGGGCCCA
rnacentral:tRNA from 4 species